rnacentral:rRNA from 1 species
CGCCUACCCAUUUAUGGUAGGUAGAUACUGCCCCCUGAGCAAUUAAAUGGCCGCGGUAUCCUAACCGUGCUAAGGUAGCAUAAUCAUUUGCCUUUUAAAUGAAGGCUAGAAUGAACGUACUGACGGAAAGCCACUGACUCAACCUUAUUUAUUAAAAUUUAAAUUAGGGUAAAAAUGCCUUAAUGAACUAGAAGGACGACAAGACCCUAUAAAACUUUACUACACCAGGUUCUCUUAAUAAAGUAAUAGCCUAAACCUUUAGUGGUUAGCUGGGGCGGCCAUCCCCCUCCGGGGGCCAAUACAACACCCUGUGUGACCUCCCGAACCCCUUUUAGUAGAAAGACCAAGUUACUUUAGGGAUAACAGCGUAAUUAUCUUGUAGAGCCCCUAUCGAUGAGAUAGCUUACGACCUCGAUGUUGAAUUGGGGCUCCUGCUAAGAGCAACCCCCUAGCAAGGAAGUCUGUUCGACUUUUAAACCCCCACGUGAUC